rnacentral:rRNA from 1 species
UACGGUUACCUUGUUACGACUUCAUCCCAGUUACCAAUCCCACCUUAGGCAGCUCCUUCCCAAUAAAGGGUUAGGCCACUGACUUCGGGUGUUACCGACUUCCGUGAUGUGACGGGCGGUGUGUACAAGCCCCGAGAACGUAUUCACCGUGGCAUAGCUGAUCCACGAUUACUAGCGACUCCGGCUUCAUGAAGUCGAGUUGCAGACUUCAAUCCGAACUGGGGACGGCUUUGAGGGAUUGGCUGACUCUUGCGAGAUCGCGGCCCACUGUACCGCCCAUUGUAGCAUGCGUGCAGCCCUGGAUAUAAGGGGCAUGAUGACUUGACAUCGUCCUCGCCUUCCUCCGAGUUGUCCCCGGCAGUCUCCCAUGAGUCCCCACCAUUACGUGCUGGCAACAUAGGACAAGGGUUGCGCUCGUUGCGGGACUUAACCCAACAUCUCACGACACGAGCUGACGACAGCCAUGCACCACCUGUGAUGAGCGCCUAAGCACACUGUGUUUCCACAGCUAGACCCACCAUGUCAAACCCAGGUAAGGUUCUUCGGGUUGCAUCGAAUUAAGCCGCAUGCUCCGCCGCUUGUGCGGGGCCCCGUCAAUUCCUUUGAGUUUUAGCCUUGCGGCCGUACUCCCCAGGCGGAACACUUAAUGCGUUAGCUACGGCGCAGCAGACGUGAAUCAGUCCGCCACACCUAGUGUUC